rnacentral:lncRNA from 1 species
CGAUCCCAAUCACCUGCACUGAUAUCUCACCACACGAACAAAAACAAAAGAGGGGGAGUGAGGCAAGAUAUGGCAUGCCGUGGCCGAAGAGGAUUUUCUAUUCCCCUCUCUCCCGCGUGCCACACCUGGAAUCUCACCACCUGUUCGACAAAGUGCGACUUCGGGGUCACGCCUGCUCCGGCGGAGUCUUCUAUGCUUCGGUCGCCAGAGUUAGAUGCGCAUCUGCCACCGCUCCACGCGGUUGCCUGUGGGGUUUGGCAGCUCUCGCAACUCGCGAAAGGGCGGCGUCCACUUGAUUCCUUCUUCAUCAGCAGUCCCCCCGACCGUGAUCGGGAGCCGGAUUUCUUCCUCGUCUGGCAUCUAUCCCACUGUGUCCUUUGUCCACUGCUUGGCAAGUAGCCAACCACAUCCAUGUGCCACAUGUUGUUGACGCCCAGGAACAGACGCGCCGGGCUACAGCAAUGCCAUGCUCUCCCUUUAUGAGGAGGCAGAAGUGGGCUUCUAUAUGAUCUGGGAUGGAUGGGUUCUCGUGUCCCAUGCGUAGUCCCUCUGUUCUUGUCCGGAAUCAUCAUCCUGAUGACUUUGGGCAUAUAUGCUUAUCCUGCCUACUGUUCAAACUUGCUUUAUGGGUUGUGCUCUAGCCAUCUAGAGCCUCUGUUCUUCUGGAGUAGCCACUGCAAGUGCUGUAAUGCGAUAUUCUCUGAUUCGGCGGCGUGGGAAAUGUUUGAAACGGUAUCCUUCUUUAUUUUGAUGUUUUCAUAUUUUUCAUCAUAGUUUCCCUAAUUGGAUAUUUUUCUCGAAUUUUGUUCAGCAAUAAGCAUGGGAAGGAGAAAAGCUCUCAACUUCCAUAUUCGUUUUUUUUCAUUUAUUUAGGAUAUUUAGUAUUUCAGAAGAGGGUGUCUUUAGAUUUGAAUAUGAUCAGUAUAUUUGGGUAUUAUUAUUUUUUAAGUUAAAUAGGACGAUACUUCAAUCUUUAAAAAAAUAGGAAUAUAUAUACACACUUUCUAAUUCUAAUCCCUUGAAUAUGUGUUACUAUGGAGUUCUAUAUUGACCUUUGUAGCGUCAUUUGUGUUCUGAGUCAAUGUUAUAUAAAUGCAUAUUCAUAUAUUUAGUUGUAAUUGUUAUAAUUAUAGGCCAUCAUCUUAUUAGUCUCACUUCACUUGUAAAGUCACACAUGAAAUACAUGGCUUCCAUCUUUGAAACAACAUCAGUCGUUGGACACAAAUAAUAUACCACAUUUAAAAUGCAAAUAUGAAAGAGGAUACCGGAAUACUAGGCAUAUCAAUAACCUCUUGAAAAAUUGAUCAAGAUAUAAUUUCCAUUAUUUCCUGGAUUUAAAACGUUCUUAUAAGAAAUGAAUGUACAUUCUCUAUCAAAAACACCUCAAUUGGAUUUAUCAUUUUAGGUUGUCAUCAUUAACUAACACUUUUUUAUUGCCAUAUUCUACUUUUGAGUUAGUAAACAUGUAAUUGAGAUACAACACUAUAGAACCUCACCUAGUCUAAAAGUUUCUGGAUUGACACUUCAAAACUAUGGCAUGUGCUUCUUUGCAUAGGGAAUGGAGAAAAUGGAGAAAAUUCUUCGUUUGUUUUUUUAUUAUUUUUAAUAAUAAUAUUUAUUUUUAAAAACUAGAAUGCUAAAAGUUUGUGUUUAACUAAUGUAUUACAAUCCAACAUGAAUUGAACAAGCCUUGAUUGCUAAAGUUAAAUAUUAGGACAUGUUAAGACCAUGCGGCAUCUUUAAGAAUUCUUUUCUCCAUAUGAAAGAAGUUUAGGCUUAUACCAAACCCUCUGCCUUCCUUCCUUGACCAAUCAUCUACUUUAAAAUUAGAGGUCAUCUAAUUCCUUACCAUGUCUUUCCCCUCCCCUCACUUUUCAGGCUUCUUAUUUGGUGACUGAGGCAAUAUCAUGGUUAUAUUGAUCAAUGUGGCAAGUUUGUACUAUUAAAGAAUGUCCAUAAAGUCAAAGCUAGUCAUGUGGUCACAAUUGAACUAGCCGUCAACAUCUCGCACAUUGCAUCAAACUACAAAAUCAACUCCCCUGUCUACAAACGUCACAUCUUUAUAGGCCCAACCAGUAUAGAAAUGGGUCGAGCUUGUUAGUUUUAAUUUCAUAGUAUAGUAGAAAACAUUUCAGAGUAUACACAACAUGUGACAUUCAUAUUGUUAGUCAUUAAAACACUGCAAGAUGAACCAAGAGAAAGGGGGUGAGGAGGUGAGGAGGAGAAUUUGUUAUUAUCUAAUCCCUACUAAAACAUGGGUUCAGCAUGACCUUUUCUUGGCAAAAAUGAGUUAGCUCCUCAACAACACAAUCUAAGCUCACUAGUCAACUUGAAACUUCAUGUUUGCAUCCCUAGAUAAUCUCACUUGACAUUUAAAACUAGUUUAUUGUCUGCCAAAAAAACAAGUAGAAGGGCGGAUUAACCCUUCAUUACUAGAGUUUGGCAUUGAUAAAAUAAUGACUGCUCAUAUUCUCAUAUAGAUCCAAAAAAGUGGAAUAAAGCUCCUUCAAAUAGUUAGAAUACUCAUUGGUAAUAUUUUGACAUGAACAUUUCAUAUGUAUCUAAGGAAUUUGUUGAAGAUCAAGGGGAUAGAACUAUUAUAUUCUAAAGUUGGAAGCUUUUACAUUCACGACCCAUGCUAAAAUGUUUGAGGAAGUGACUAUUUUCAAAUAUGAAAGAUCUUUUCACCAAUAGUUCUUCUAAGGAAUCUCAAUCACAUGGCCAUCAUAGGAUCCAAUAACUUUAUAAUAUUGUAGAAUGUUACUUAAUGACUCUCUUUUAUUUUUUUAUUUUUCAUAGUAUUAACUGUAUUAUAAUACCAAAUCUCUUUUGCAUAAGGUAAACCACUCAUUUUUGCUUGAAACAAGUAAAAAAUACAUAGAGGAUUUCCUAUUAUAGAAGAUUAAAAAAUAUGAAAAUUUUUAUAGCCUGCAACCACAUAUUAAGUUAUUUCUAUUCAAGAAUACAAAAUUUUUCAACAAUAUCUUUAUUCAAAAUUUCUCUCAUAAUCUCAUGUUGAAAUGAAGAGAGGGAAACAAACAAUGUGGAGUAACUUUCUUCUAUCUCAAUAAAUAGAGGGAAAGAGGGGGAAACCACUUCACUUUUUCAUUAACAUUUAUCACUCCUUAAAUAUGGAGACAAUCUUACAUGAUCUUUUCUCAUAUACAUUUUAGACUACAAGUUCCAAUGGUGACCAUUGAUAACAUGUUAAUUCCAUAUAUUAAUGUUGUCAGUCAUACAUGAUUUACAUACUUUCAUGACUAAAAUUAGUAGGUUAUCUUAAAAAACUAUUUGAUAUGAAUUUUGCAUGAAAAAUUUUUUAAGACAUCUUAAAUCAAAUUUUAGUUAUUUUUUUCUAAUCACAUGUCUCAUUAAACAUUUUAUUGUUAAUUUGGUUUUAUUAAGCCUUAAUAAUUAUGAAAUUAAUGAUAAACAUAAUUUAAGAGUAAGAUUAAAUUUUUAUUUAUGAAAUACUUUAUUAAUCUAUUCAUACAUACAUCUAUAUUUGAUAAUUCACUAAAUUAUCUAAUUAGAAUGAGAAAUAAAAUGUGAAUUUGAGCCUUAAAAGACUAGAGGAAUGUUAUGAACAUAGUUAAUAUUUCCCAAAUAAACAUUUUUAUGUGAUACAAAAUUUUCAUUUAAUCUCUUUAUUCUCUAGCUUUUAGUAAAGGAGUGCAAGGGUAAAUGAGCAACAUUAUAUCAUAUGAGAAGAAAGAUUAAUGGUUUAUAUGCUUCCUAGACUAGUGUGCAAUUUUUAGAUUUAAAAAGAUUAAAAUAUAAUUUAUUUUUCUUGUAGAUCUUGCAGGUUUAGAGGGGCAAAUCGAACAAGAAAAGAUGAAGGUUCUUUAUAAAUAAGAGGAAGGAGCCACUCUCCCUCCUCAUUCACAAUUGUCUCUUUUCUUUUCCCCCUUUUGAGCGUAAUUCCUUCUCUUUUCUCCUUUCUCAUCUUGAAUAGGCUUGCUCCUCCCUUCUCUCCCUUACUGGUGGUGACAGCACUAGCUUGUAGUCAUGGAUCUCCUCCCUUAACACAACAAGGAGAGGAUCAACCAAUGAAGCCCACAUGUGAGGCCACUAUCCUCUCUCCACAUUCAUCAGAAUAAGAGGGGGAAAAUUAUUUCAGUUCUAGUUCUUUUCAUUUGUUAUAAUUGGACUCUUCAUUUUUGGUUUAAUAUAAUUUAUCGUUCCACAAUUUGUGUCUCCUCUCACUUCAACAAUUAAAUUCUUUAAAUUUACUAGAAGGUUCAAGGAUCCCUCUUUGUCAACUACCAAUAAUCCAAUUACAUGGUGGCUGGUGGAACCUUAGGAGGAUCUCUCCUCUCAACAUGAG